rnacentral:rRNA from 1 species
UGAUGCUGCGGAAAUGGCUCAAAUGCGGUUUCGUCUUCAACAAGGAGCUAUUCCCCACGGAAGAGGGCACUCCACAGGGUGGUAUCAUCUCACCAACUCUUGCGAAUAUGACACUGGACGGACUGCAAACUAUGCUUGCAGAGAAGUAUCACAAGAAAUUUGUAACCAGGAAAACGACCUACUAUCCCAAAGUACAUCUUGUACGCUAUGCGGAUGAUUUUAUCAUCACGGGUAGAAGCAAGGAAGCUUUGGAAGAAAUCAAACCGUUAGUAGUGGACUUUCUCCAAGAAAGCAUUCGACGAUGGACGAAGUGCAAUUACCUGGAAAGGUAAGCCGCGGAGGGUGAUAGCCCCGUGCACGACACCCCUUCAGGAGAUAGCGGUAUCCCGAGUAGGGCGGGACACGAGAAAUCCUGCCUGAAUUCGCCAGGACCCCCUGGCAAGGCUAAAUACUCCCGAGAGACCGAUAGUGAACCAGUACCGCGAGGGAAAGGUGAAAAGUACCCCGAGCAGGGGGGUGAAAUAGACCCUGAACCCGCGCGCCUACAAGCGGUCGGAGCUGCCUUGUGCAGUGACGGCGUGCCUUUUGCAUAAUGAGCCUACGAGUUAGUCGUCACCAGCGAGGUUAAGGGCUUCAGGCCCGUUAGCCGAAGUGAAAGCGAGCCUUAACAGGGCGCCGAGUUGGUGGCGCUAGACGCGAAACCUUGUGAUCUACCCACGAGCAGGUUGAAGUCGCGGUAACGCGUGAUGGAGGACCGAACCGGUAAACGUUGAAAAGUUUUCGGAUGACUCGCGGGUAGGGGUGAAAGGCCAAUCAAACUGGGAAAUAGCUCGUACUCUCCGAAAUGCAUUUCGGUGCAGCCUGUGAUGUUCUGUUCCAGAGGUAGAGCUACUGGUUGGACGCGAGGGCUUCACCGCCUAUCAAAUCCGGAUAAACUCCGAAUGCUGGAACACGAAAUCAUGGAGUGAGCCCGCGGGUGCUAAGGUCCGCGGACGAGAGGGAAAGAACCCGGACCACCGGCUAAGGUCCCGGAUGGACAGUUAAGUUGAUCAAACGAGGUGGGAUCGCGGAGACAGCUAGGAUGUUGGCUUGGAAGCAGCCAUUCAUUUAAAGAGUGCGUAACAGCUCACUAGUCGAGCGAUCCCGCGUGGAUAAUACACGGGCAUGAAACUGUCAACCGAAGCCGUGGGGUCAGUGUUGAACUGACCGGUAGGAGAGCAUUCCUGCCAGCGUCGAAGGUCACCCGCGAGAGUGACUGGAGCGGCAUGAAAAGCAAAUGUAGGCAUAAGUAACGAUAAUGGGGGCGAGAACCCCCCACGCCGCAAGACCAAGGAUUCCCCGGCAAUGUCAAUCAGCCGGGGGUCAGCCGGCCUCUAAGGCUAACCCGAAUGGGGACGCCGACGAGAAACGGGUUAACAUUCCCGUGCUUCUCGUCACCGUGACGCGGUGACGGGGUGAUGAAUGGACCGCGCGCUGACGGAAUAGCGCGUUGAAGGCCGUACCCUUUGACGGUGGUAGUCAAGCACGCCACCGGAGGCGAAAGUCGAUAGUACCUCGAGGCCUCGGCCGAGGGGAUAGCGUCCAGGCAAUUUACCCCCGAGAAAACCCGCUAAACUUCAAGUGACGAGGAACCGUACUGUAAACGGACACACGUGGUCGGGUAGAACAUACCAAGGCGCUCGAGUGAUUCAUGGUCAAGGAACUAGGCAAAAUAGUCCUGUAACCUCGGGAAAAAGGACGCUCUAGUGAUAGAGCCGCAGAGUAAUGGCCCAGGCGACUGUUUACCAAAAACACAUGGCUAUGCCAAAUCGAAAGAUGACGUAUAUGGCCUGACACCUGCCCGGUGCCGGAAGGUUAAGAGGAGAGCUCAUCAGCGAUGAGAAGGUUCGAAUUGAAGCCCCGGUAAACGGCGGCCGUAACUAUAACGGUCCUAAGGUAGCGAAAUUCCUUGUCGGGUAAGUUCCG